AGGGAAUUGCCCGAGUUAGUGGCGGAUGGGUGAGUAACGCGUGGGGAACCUACCUCGUAGAGGGGAAUAAUAGUUGGAAACGACUACUAAUACCGCAUAAUGUACACUUUUCGCAUGAAGAGUGUAAGAAAGAUGGCCUCUGAGAAUGCUAUCACUAUGAGAUGGACCCGCGUCUGAUUAGCUAGUUGGUAAGGUAACGGCUUACCAAGGCAAUGAUCAGUAGCCGGCCUGAGAGGGUGAACGGCCACAUUGGGACUGAGACACGGCCCAAACUCC
rnacentral:rRNA from 1 species